AUGGAAAUCGUACUCCGAAUAAUGCCCGAGCUUAACUGCAUACCGGAUGUUUUCUCCUACACCAUUCUUUUCAAGGGUCUCUCCAACGAGAAAAGAAGCCAAGAGGCUCUAGAGCUGAUUCACAUCAUGGCUGAGGAUGGGGGUAGCUGCCAACCUAAUGUGGUGUCAUAUAGCACCGUAGUUGAUGGCUUGUUGAAAGAGGGUGAGGUGGACAAAGCUUACAGCCUAUUUUGUCAAGUGCUAAAGAGGCGAAUUUCACCGAAUGUUGUGACAUGUAGUUCAAUCAUCUCUGGCAUGUGCAAGGUUCAUGCGAUGGACAAGGCUGAGCAGGUUCUUCAACAGAUGUUUGAUACAAGAAUUCUGUCAAAUGUUGCUACAUAUACUAGUCUCAUACAA
rnacentral:rRNA from 1 species